rnacentral:rRNA from 1 species
AGAGAGAGACAUGCGCGCAUAUCAAUAAGCAGAGGAAAAGAAACUAACUAGGAUUCCCUCAGUAACGGCGAGUGAAGCGGGAAGAGCUCAAAUUUGAAAUCUUAAAGGUUUCCCUUGACGAAUUGUAGUUUAAAGAAGUGUUUUCUGUUGGAGUUUUGGUAAAAGUUCUUUGGAAUAGGACAUCAUAGAGGGUGAGAAUCCCGUAUUUGACCAUUACUUUCAGCUUUGUGAUACACUUUCAAAGAGUCGGAUUGUUUGGGAAUGCAGUCCAAAAUGGGUGGUAAAUUUCAUCUAAAGCUAAAUAUUGGCGAGAGACCGAUAGCGAACAAGUACCGUGAGGGAAAGAUGAAAAGAACUUUGAAAAGAGAGUUAAACAGUACGUGAAAUUGUCAAAAGGGAAGCGUUUGACACCAGUGCUGUUUUCUCGAAAAUCAAUUAAAAGAACUGAUUUAUGCUAGCUGUAUUAGACUUUAUCAGCUAACUGUUUAGUUUGAUCUUUUCUUUAAUGCACUUUUCAGUUAACAAGUCAACAUCAAUUUCUUUUGUUGUAAAAGGGUCAUUGGAAGGUGGCUUUCUUUUCGGAGAAAGUGUUUAUAGCCUUUGGCCUCUGCAAUCGGAGAGAUUGAGGUCUGCAGCGUAGAUCCUUCGGGGUUAGAUACAUUUGUGCUAAGUUAUAGCUUUUAUAGACAACUUGUUGACUAUGAUUAGUCAUUGUAGCUUACUCGCUUAUGUUAUUUUACCUACGCUUAGGAUGUUGAUGUGAUACUGCGAGCA